ACGAACAUUGGUCAGUCUAGUUCCGGAAGCUCUACUUCCAUGUCCAGCAGCCAGGUAUGUCCCGCUCACCUUACCACAACAGCCAAUCAAGACCCUUCAACAAUAUCUAUUGCCCAAGAUGAAACAUGACGUAAACUGGCUUAUUUGAGUGGGCAAAAUUGAAUUUAUGUUGAUAAGGAAUAAAGAAUUGAGACCGAUUGGAGUUCUUGUUGAUAAAGAAUGAAGACAGAUUGGUGAUCUGAAGAAAAGGAAACAUUUGAAAGAGGCUUUAAAACCAUAGAAAAAUACAUAGCAUUCCUUUGGACAGGCAUUUACGAGACAUUUAACAUCCUUUGACCUAGUAAACAAGGUGCAAACCAAGUUUAAGCAGAUGCAUACUGUAUGUUGUGAGCUUUACCAGAUUAAACAUAGCAGUAGUUACUCAGUUUUACCAUGGAGGAAAUAAUGUUUUAUUUCCUCCCUGGUUUUACUGACAUGGACUUCAUUUGCAUGGAUGCUACUAAAACUUCCUCUUUGAUGUGGUGGUUUUCAUCAUAAAUAAUUAUAGAAAUUUUUAUUUUUGAAUUAACUGCUGUUGAUAGCUAAUUUAAUACAAAGACUGAAGUGGAUGAUAGGAUUGUAGACUGCAUCAUGUCACUGUUUUGACGGUUUUAAAUCGAUAAUGAAGAAACAAAAGAAGGAAAUUGUUUAAUUUAAUUUCAAAUAAAUAACAAUUUUGAUGAUAUUAUUUACAAAAAAAGUAACAUGUAUAAUUACCAAUUAUGAAUAAUACAUACCAUUUGUAUAUAACUUUUUUUUAAAUUUUCAUUUCCAAGAAAGGAAAUGUGUCCUUAACUCAACUUAUUAUGUUUUUGAAAUAAAUUUUCAUCUGAAUGAAGAGCGCCCUCUUUAAAAAUAAGUUUUUAAUAGCAAUAGCAAAGUGCUUUUUUACACAGUUGUAGAUAAGCCGUAGAGAUCUUUUUAUGAUUUAAAUUUGUAUUGAAAUUUACCUAUGUGUUGUUGGUUUAAUCUAGAAACAUAAUAUGAAGAAGACAACAAAUUCAAUUAGAAUCAACAGUUAUGCAACACUGUUACUUUGUUGUUAUCAAUGUGCCAGUUUUACAGUCCAUUGCAUUCGUGAAUACCGAGGCAUGAAUACCAAAGUAUCCCGUGUAGUGGCCUGUGCAUGAAUGUCAUGCUCCAACGAGUUGUUUAUUAUUUACGCCAGGCGGGACAGGGUAUGAGGUCUUGUGAAGACGAAGGAGUCACUUAAUUAAAUAUUGAUAAUACACUAUUACGUUAGCUCAUCCAGAAAAUGACCGAUACGAUGCGUCUGGAAUUCUAUACGAUUAUGACUUUGAAUAAAGCCCGAGGCUGUUUCCCACGCCUACAGGCCAUAGAAAGAAAGCUA